ensembl:lncRNA
AUGGCUUACACUUCACCAAACACAAACACAAACAGACAGGAAUUAUGGAGCUUUGAUGUCAUCCUGAUGUUUGGAAUUCUCACCUCCAUGGCAACACCGGAUUCCUGCUGUAUGAUGUCACUGUUUCUAUUCCAGAAACACACCUGCUUCUGCACACAACACAAAGAUACUGUUAUUUUUAUAGUUUUACAGUUCUCUCGUUGUAAGGAAAACAUGGGUGUAAUCUCUGAGGUCUGGCAUUCAUAAAGGGCAUCUUUGAAAAGACUGUAUUUCUAAGGCUGUUAAAGUUAAUGAGUGCGCUGAAGAUAUUAAAUAAAUUAAUUGUUUUUUUAUGCUGUCUUUGAGAA